AAGGCCCACCGUGGYGACGACGGGUAGCCGGCCUGAGAGGGUGGACGGCCACAUUGGGACUGAGACACGGCCCAGACUCCUACGGGAGGCAGCAGUGGGGGAUAUUGCACAAUGGAGGAAACUYUGAUGCAGCAACGCCGCGUGAGGGAAGAAGGUCUUCGGAUUGUAAACCUUUGUCCUUGGURAMGAUAAUGACGGUAGCCAAGGAGGAAGCUCCGGCUAACUACGUGCCAGCAGCCGCGGUAAUACGUAGGGAGCGAGCGUUGUCCGGAUUUACUGGGUGUAAAGGGUGCGUAGGCGGCUCUKCAAGUCAGGUGUGAAAACCAUCGGCUUAACUGAUGGACUGCAUUUGAAACUGUGGGGCUUGAGUGAAGUAGAGGCAGACGGAAUUCCCGGUGUAGCGGUGAGAUKCGUAGGARAUCGGGAGGAACACCAGUGGCGAAGGCAGCUUACCAGCAUGCAACUGACGCUGAGGCACGAAASCUUUUGUUUCAAGCAGGAUUAGAUACCCUGGUAGUCC
rnacentral:rRNA from 1 species